AUGCACACAUUGUUUCACAAUACGCCUGCCAGGAGAGAGGAUUACAUCACCGUAACCAAGUCCAGUGUGUUCCCUCUAUCUUUCUGUGCCCAUCGUUGGGUAGAAAACCUUCCGGUUGUGGAGAGAGCCCUGGCAGUCUGGCCAUCAUUUCUCCUGUACAUGGAAGCUGUGAAAACAAAGAGACUCCCGAACCCUGGAACAGCAUCAUAUGACACAGUUGCAGCAGCCAUAAAGGAUCCACUCGUCUUGGCCAAAUUGCAGUUCUACGCAGCAAUUGCCAGGACCUUCAAUCCCUUCCUGAAAAAAUAUCAGACGGAUGAGCCUGUGCUCCCAUUCCUCCCCAAAGGACCUGACCGAGUUGAUGAUGGUAACAAUUUACUUAACGUUAUAACCACUGAUUGGGCUCAAUUGAUCCAUUAUGACAAAAUGGGGUUUGUGGUUAGGAUGUGUAAAAAAUAGUGGCUACAUUGUGCAUCAUCAUAAGAUAAUUUGAUGUUGGUGAUUAAUGUGCCGCACCAGACAUUUUUGUGUUUGUCUGUUGACAGUCUACUCAGACGCUUCAUAAAGAGAGACGUACUACACGAUAUCACUGCCCUGCAGCUGACCAAACUGGAUGUCACAGACAAGACCAUCUGGCUCAGCCCACAAGACAUCAGCAUUGGUCUAGGUGCAGAGUCAGUCCUUAAGGUAGUGUGAUGUUUUCAAAAGAUAAUUUUACAAAUGGUUAGGGUGAACCAGGUGUCAUUGAAGACAUGUUCUAUAUUCAUGGCUAAUUUCUCUCUAGAGAAUCAAAGGUGCAGAGCUCAGGGUGCUCGAGUUCAAGAGAGUGCAUGCAGGGACUGAGUAACAUGAUCAAGAAAGUGCAGGACAAGAGCCCCCUCAAGUAUCUGACUGUUAGGCAGAUGGUGUGCCUGAAUCCGUCAGUAAUGUAUAGAGAACCAGAAAGAGGCAGGAAUCACAUGAAAGGGCUGGUUCAAAGGUUUCUCCAGGACAAACAGCUUACUGAUACUUCUUCGGGUAAGAAUAAGGCAAAUUAUAGGCUACACAUGAAUUUAUCCUCCAUCUAAUUAGCUGGUAAUGCCCAAAGAUUUAUCAAUGUUUUUCUCUAUUUUCUCAUUUGUUUUGUCGUAGGGGAUGUCAUACUGCAGCAGUUUGACAGUCUCCUUUCCUUGGAGAGCCGGAGUGAGGACUUCCUCUCCUUUCAAACCAUGCAGACGAGGCUGGACAUCUUCCUGAGCAGCGCCAUGGAGCCUUAUCCCGAGCUGUGGGCCUUCUGCAAGAAGCUGCUCAUCCUCAUCCACGGUCAAGCUACAGUUGAGCGUGGAUUCUCAAUCAAUAAAGAGGUGGAGUCUGAUAACUUGGCGGAGGAUACUGUGGUCACACGGAGACUGGUGUGUGACUACAUCAUACAACAUGGAGGUGUUACCAAGGUAAGAUGACUCCUGUCUGGAGUAGUAAUAUGCUGUUGACUUAAAAGUUGAUAGAAUCAACAUAGUUGGUCUCUUGAGUUUGUCACUGAAUCUGGUUCUCUUUCCCCAACCCGAUACCCAGGUUCCACUCAGUAAACCGCUACUGGAAAGUGUAGCAAGGGCAAGGACAAGGUAUCGUACCCAUCUGGAGACCAAAAGAAGGAACAGGGAGGCAAAAGACCAGGCUCUCAAGAGGAGGGAAGCAGAGGACUGUCUUGAGGAGCUGAAGGUUAAGAGGAGACGUGUACAGGAGGUAUCUGAGGGUCUGGCUAGGGAUGCGGACAAGAUGGCUGAGGAGGCUGAAGCGAAGGCAGGGAGCAAGAUGGCUGGCCUGAUCACCAGGUCAAACAUUCUGCGGAGAGGCCAUAAGGAGAAGUUGGCAGAACUGGCUCUCCUUGAUAAAGAGAUCGCUGCUAAGAGUGCAGAGCUUAGGAGUUGACUGUGUGAUCAUAAUUUUAUUUAUUGUUGAGUUGAUUUUCAUUGUUUAUUGUUGAGGAGUCUGUGCUGUUGGCGUAAGUACUCACCACUAUGCUGCAAUGUUCCAUCAUUCCAUAAUGCUUUACAGUCCACAUUUUCACAUUUGUUGAAAUAAAUGAACAAAUUUUGAACAAACGUUGUCGGUAGGUCUGUGAAAUAGGCCGUGAAAUAGGUAUUAAUUUUUAUAUAAGUGGUCUUAAAAGGGACUUAAAAAGACUUGAAUUUGACUUGAACAAACCUGUAGGAACCCUGUAAUAAAAUAACCUCAAACAGCU
ensembl:lncRNA